AUGAUGCUUGACUGCUUAGCCUCCAUAAUGGCUUGCUGCCAAACACUCAACGUACUUUCAAAAAGCAAAUCAUCUUUGGAUUUAUUUCGGUUAUGGAAAACAGGGUCCUGGAUGAAUACUUCAUUGCAACAAACUUGGCUUCAAACCAGAAAGACAUUGAGUCAAGAAGAUAAUAAAAAUAGUUAGUAAUAAUCACAUUUACCCUGUGUUACUAUGUCUCAGACACUGGUGAACAACUGAUCCACACACAUUGUCUGUCUUAUUUAAUCUUAUAGGAAGCUCAUGAGUUAGUAUAAUUAUUAUGUCAAGCUUAUAGUAGAGGAAACUGAGGCUUAGAGAUGGUGAGUUACUUAUCCAAUAUCACACAGUAAUAAAUGUCAGAACUGGGGAUUCA
rnacentral:lncRNA from 1 species